CAACCCUGAAUAAUCGAUAUCGAUCACUCUUUGUUCUAUGUUUUUUGUUAUCCCUAACUCAUGUAUUAGUUAUUAUUAGUUUGUCUGUUCCGUAUUUCUUGCCGGCUAUUAACAGUAAAUUCUAUCUACGAAAUUGAAUAUAAAUUGGCUCUUCCGUUUGUCAGAAGUUAAUAUUGUUCUGUCCGCAGCAUAGAAGAAAGCCGAAAGCGAAGAAUAAACCAUGCCACGUCUUCUAUUGUGAA